rnacentral:rRNA from 1 species
GACGAACGCUGGCGGCGUGCUUAACACAUGCAAGUCGAACGGAAAGGCCCUGCUUUUGUGGGGUGCUCGAGUGGCGAACGGGUGAGUAACACGUGAGUAACCUGCCCUUGACUUUGGGAUAACUUCAGGAAACUGGGGCUAAUACCGGAUAGGAGCUCCUGCUGCAUGGUGGGGGUUGGAAAGUUUCGGCGGUUGGGGAUGGACUCGCGGCUUAUGAGCUUGUUGGUGGGGUAGUGGUUUACCAAGGCUUUGACGGGUAGCCGGCCCGAGAGGGUGACCGGCAACAUUGGGACCGAGAUACGGCCCAGCCUCCUACGGGAGGCAGCGGUGGGGAAUUUUGCACAAUGGGCGGAAGCCUGAUGCAGCAACGCCGCGUGCGGGAUGACGGCCUUCGGGUUGUAAACCGCUUUCGCCUGUGACGAAGCGUGAGUGACGGUAAUUGGUAAAGAAGCACCGGCUAACUACGUG